rnacentral:rRNA from 1 species
GAGUUUGAUCAUGGCUCAGGAUGAACGCUAGCGGCAGGCCUAAUACAUGCAAGUCGGACGGGAUAGGAGAGCUUGCUUUCCUUGAGAGUGGCGCACGGGUGCGUAACACGUAUGUAACCUACCUUUAUCAGGGGGAUAGCCUCUCGAAAGAGAGAUUAAGCCCGCAUAACAUCACGCUAUAGCAUUAUAAUGUGAUCAAAUAUUUAUAGGAUAAAGAUGGGCAUGCGGAACAUUAGCUAGUUGGUAAGGUAAUGGCUUACCAAGGCUACGAUGUUUAGGGGAUCUGAGAGGAUGA